rnacentral:rRNA from 1 species
UACGGAGGAUGCGAGCGUUAUCCGGAUUUAUUGGGUUUAAAGGGUGGGUAGGCGGGAUGCCAAGUCAGCGGUAAAAAUGCGGUGCUCAACGCCGUCGAGCCGUUGAAACUGGCGUUCUUGAGUGGGCGAGAAGUAUGCGGAAUGCGUGGUGUAGCGGUGAAACGCAUAGAUAUCACGCAGAACUCCGAUUGCGAAGGCAGCAUACCGGCGCCCUACUGACGCUGAGGCACGAAAGCGUGGGUAUCGAACAGG